rnacentral:rRNA from 1 species
UAGUCCACGCCGUAAACGAUGACAACUAGGUGUCGGAGGUAUUGACCCCUUCGGUGCCAAAGCUAACGCACUAAGUUGUCCGCCUGGGGAGUACGAUCGCAAGAUUAAAACUCAAAGGAAUUGACGGGGACCCGCACAAGCGGUGGAGUAUGUGGUUUAAUUCGACGCAACACGAAGAACCUUACCUGGGUUAGACAUCUAUAGGACGGUUUCUAGAGAUAGAUUCCUUUCCUUUUGGAACUUAUAGACAGGUGCUGCAUGGCUGUCGUCAGCUCGUGUCGUGAGAUGUUGGGUUAAGUCCCGCAACGAGCGCAACCCUCACUGUUAGUUGCCAGCAUUUAGUUGGGCACUCUAGCAGAACUGCCGGUGCUAAGCCGGAGGAAGGUGGGGAUGACGUCAAGUCCUCAUGGCCCUUACGGGUAGGGCUACACACGUGCUACAAUGGCGAUGACAGAGGGUUAAUCCCUAAAAUCGUACUCAGUUCGGAUUGUCUUCUGCAACUCGAAGACAUGAAGUUGGAA